UACGAAGGGGGCUAGCGUUGUUCGGAAUUACUGGGCGUAAAGCGUAUGCAGGCGGGUCGAUAAGUCAGUGGUGAAAUCCCGAGGCUCAACCUCGGAACUGCCUCUGAUACUGUCGAUCUUGAGUCCGGGAGAGGUGAGUGGAACUGCGAGUGUAGAGGUGAAAUUCGUAGAUAUUCGCAAGAACACCAGUGGCGAAGGCGGCUCACUGGCCCGGUACUGACGCUGAGAUACGAAAGCGUGGGGAGCAAAC
rnacentral:rRNA from 1 species